rnacentral:rRNA from 1 species
UGGGGAAUCUUGCACAAUGGGGGCAACCCUGAUGCAGCGACGCCGCGUGAGCGAUGAAGCCCUUCGGGGCGUAAAGCUCUUUCGACCGGAACGAUAAUGACGGUACCGGGAGAAGAAGCUGCGGCUAACUACGUGCCAGCAGCCGCGGUAAUACGUAGGCAGCAAGCGUUGUUCGGAGUUACUGGGCGUAAAGAGUGCGUAGGCGGUUUUCUAAGUUCGGUGGGAAAUCUCCCGGCUUAACUGGGAGGGUGCGCCGAGGACUGGGAAGCUGGAGUGUGAGAAAGGCAGGCGGAAUUCCUGGUGUAGCGGUGAAAUGCGUAGAUAUCAGGAGGAACACCGGCGGUGUAGACGGCUUGCUAGACCAUAACUGAAGCUGAGGCACGAAAGCG